AUUGAACGCUGGCGGCAUGCCUUACACAUGCAAGUCGAACGGUAACGCGGGGCAACCUGGCGACGAGUGGCGAACGGGUGAGUAAUGCAUCGGAACGUGCCCAGUAGGGGGGGAUAGCCCGGCGAAAGCCGGAUUAAUACCGCAUACGACCUACGGGUGAAAGCGGGGGAUCGCAAGACCUCGCGCUAUUGGAGCGGCCGAUGUCAGAUUAGGUUGCUGGUGGGGUAAAGGCCUACCAAGCCUACGAUCUGUAGCUGGUCUGAGAGGACGACCAGCCACACUGGGACUGAGACACGGGCCAGACUCCGACGGGAGGCAGCAGUGGGGAAUUUUGGACAAUGGACGCAAGCCUGAUCCAGCCAUGCCGCGUGCGGGAAGAAGGCCUUCGGGUUGUAAACCGCUUUUGUCAGUGAAGAAACUCUCUGGGAUAAUACCCCGGGGUAAUGACGGUACCUGAAGAAUAAGCACCGGCUAACUACGUGCCAGCCGCCGCCGUAAGAC
rnacentral:rRNA from 1 species